rnacentral:rRNA from 1 species
UAGGGAAUCUUCCACAAUGGGCGCAAGCCUGAUGGAGCAACACCGCGUGAGUGAAGAAGGGUUUCGGCUCGUAAAGCUCUGUUGUUGAAGAAGAACGUGCGUGAGAGUAACUGUUCAUGCAGUGACGGUAUUCAACCAGAAAGUCACGGCUAACUACGUG